AUGGCUUUAGAAAUAGAAUCAUCUGAGUUGCCAAGAAUUACUAACGAUUUUUCGGACGCCCAAAAAGUUGGAAGUGGUGGCUAUGGAGACGUUUACAAGGCAGUCUACAAUGGGGAAGCCAUGGCAGUGAAGUUGCUUCAUGCGACCAAAGGAAUUGACGACAGACAAUUUAUGAAGGAACUCCGUAACCAUAUGAAGGUCCAACAUCCAAACAUUGUACGUCUAGUUGGGUAUUGCAAUGAAGAAACCAAGAAAUAUGUUGAGCUACCUGAUGGCACGUCUGUUUUUGGUAGACACAUAUACAAAGUGCUCUGCUUUGAAUAUAUGGUCGGCAGAAGCUUAGAUAAGCGUCUGUCUGGAAUUUCUCUGGGAGAUGAAUGGCGCACACAUUACCAAAUAAUAAAGGGGACUUGUGAAGGUUUGUGUUAUCUUCACAAUGGAUGUGAAAAUCGGAUCCUCCACUUGGAUCUAAAGCCUGCCAAUGUAUUACUUGACAAGAGCAUGAAACCGAAAAUUGCGGAUUUUGGACUGUCAAGGAUUUACACUGCAAGCCGUAGCCAUAUCAAAGUUGGUUCAGUUUCAGGGACAACGAAAUACAUGCCGCCUGAAUUAAUACAUGGGAGCGAGAUGUCAGACAAGACUGAUGUCUACGGUUUAGGUGUUACAAUCAUAGAAGUGUGUGCAUAUUGGAGGAAGAGGGAUAGCACAACAAAUUUAUAUCAAGUGGAGACAUGCGCCAAAAUUGCAGUACGUUGUCUCAAUCAUGAUAGAAGGAAGAGACCCACAAUAAAGGAGAUUGUAGAAAACUUGAAUGGUAUGGAAACUCAGGGUUUGAGCAAGGAUCUCCAUGCCCUCACGGUGAAUUCAUCCCUCCCAGUUCCAGACAAGAUGUCCAUUACCAUUUCAGGAAGGGGGGCACUGGAUGUGGUGAUUGUGUAUGCAUUUGAUUGUACUGACUCAACCCCAGCCUGGUACACAGCGGAUAAUGGGAUCUUUUGGUUGGUGCAAGAGAAGCUAACCAACUUGUGUGAUAGUUGCAUGGGCUAUAUUUACGUCAUGUCAACCCCUAACACAUACACGUCAGAUAUGAAAGUUGUUGACUCAGCUGAGACAAAGGAAACUGGAUACACGGGAUUCGCCUGGCGCAGGAUGACCUGCAGUAAAAAUAUGGCAUCAGGCCUUGCCGAGGCGCAUAAAAUGAUCAGCAAUCGUGGUCACCACAACGGCAUCAUAUUGUUCUUCUCGGAUGGGUUAAUAAACAAGGGCGACUUCUUUGAUGGAACAGAGAACUUUGUCUCCAAAGUGCCCGUCCACACAUUUACCCUCGGCGGGGACGCAUAUAACCAUGUUCUCCACUCCAUUGCGACCAAUUCUCCAGGUGGGAUGUUUCACACCAGUACCGUUCCAGAAAGGCCAAAUCUAUCAACACCCUUCUCAAAACUACUGGAUAGCCUCCUUGGCACUACCCCGAAGGACGAUGAGAUGCCUCUUAGUUCCAUUUCAGGAAGGGAGCCACUUGAUGUGGUGAUUGUGUAUGCCUUUGAUUGUACUCACUCGACCCCAGCCUGGCACACGGUGGAUAGUGGGGUAUUUUGGUUGGUGCAAGAGAAGCUGGCGCACUUUCCAGAUAGUUGCAUGGGUUACAUCUACGUCGACAUGACCCCAAACACAUACACAUCAGACAUGAAAGUAGUUGACCGCAAUGAGACAAAGGAAACUGGCUACACGAGUUUCGCGUGGCGUAGGAUAACCUGCACUAGAAACAUGUCAUCUGGACUUGCCGAGGCACAUAAAAUGAUCAGCAACCGCGGGCACCACAAUGGCAUCAUCUUGUUCUUCUCUAAUGGCAUGAUAAACAAGGGAGACUUCUUUGAUGGGACCGAGAACUUUGUCUCCAAAGUGCCUGUCCACACAUUUACCCUUGCCGGGGACGAAUAUAACCAUGUUCUCCACUCCAUUGCGAAAAAUUCUCCAGGUGGGAAGUUCCACACCAGCCCUGUUCCAGAAAGGCCAAACCUAUCAACAUCCUUCUCCAAGCUACUGGAUAACCUACUUGGCGGAACCCCAGAGGAUGAUGAGAGGCCUCUUAGUACCAUUUCAGGAAGGGGGCCACUAGAUGUGGUGAUUGUGUACGCCUUUGACUGCACUGAAUCAACCCCAGCCUGGUACACCGUGGAUAAUGGGAUCUUUUGGUUGCUUCAAGAGAAGUUGACGCACUUCCCUGAAAGUUGCAUGGGUUACAUCUACGUCGACAUGACCCCAAAUACAUACACGUCAGAUAUGAAAGUAGUUGACCCAAAUGAGACGAAGGAAACUGGCUACACGAGAUUCGCAUGGCGUAGAAUGACUUGUACUAAAAACAUGGCAUCAGGACUUGCCGACGCGCAUAAAAUGAUUAGCAACCGCGGGCACCACAAUGGCAUCAUCUUGUUCUUCUCUGAUGGCUUGAUAAACAAGGGGGACUUCUUUGAUGGAACUGAAAACUUUGUCUCCAAAGUGCCUGUCCACACAUUUACCCUCGGCGGGGACGCUUAUAACCAUGUUCUCCACUCCAUUGCAACAAAUUCUCCAGGCGGGAAGUUCCACACCAGCCCCGUUCCAGAAAGGCCAAACCUAUCAACAUCCUUCUCCAAGCUACUGGAUAGCCUACUUGGCGGAACCCCAGAGGAUUAUGAGAGGCCUUUUAGUUCCCUUUCAGGAAGGGAGCCACUCGAUGUGGUGAUUGUGUAUGCCUUUGACUGCACUGAAUCAACCCCAGCCUGGUACACGGUGGAUAAUGGGAUCUUUUGGUUGCUUCAAGAGAAGUUGACGCACUUCCCUGAAAGUUGCAUGGGUUACAUCUACGUCGACAUGACCCCAAACACAUACACAUCAGACAUGAAAGUAGUUGACCCAAAUGAGACGAAGGAAACUGGCUACACGAGAUUCGCAUGGCGUAGGAUGACUUGUACUAAAAACAUGGCAUCAGGACUUGCCGACGCGCAUAAAAUGACCAGCAACCGCGGGCACCACAAUGGCAUCAUCUUGUUCUUCUCUGAUGGCUUGAUAAACAAAGGGGACUUCUUUGAUGGAACUGAAAACUUUGUCUCCAAAGUGCCUGUCCACACAUUUACCCUCGGCGGGGAUGCAUAUAACCAUGUUCUCCACUCCAUUGCAACAAAUUCUCCAUGCGGGAAGUUCCACACCAGCCCCGUUCCAGAAAGGCCAAACCUAUCAACAUCCUUCUCCAAGCUACUGGAUAGCCUACUUGGCGGAACCCCAGAGGAUUAUGAGAGGCCUUUUAGUUCCCUUUCAGGAAGGGAGCCACUCGAUGUGGUUAUUGUGUAUGCCUUUGACUGCACUGACUCAACCCCAGCCUGGCACACGGUGGAUAAUGGGGUCUUUUGGUUGGUGCAAGAGAAGCUGACCCAUUUCCCUGAUAGUUGCAUGGGUUACGUCUACGUCGACGUCACCCCAAACACAUACACGUCGGACAUGAAAGUAGUUGACCCAGCCGAGACAAAGAAAACUGGCUACACGGGAUUCGCCCGGCGCAGGAUGACCUGUGGCAAAAACAUGGCAUCAGGCCUUGCCGAGGCGCAUAAAAUGCUCAGAAACCGUGGUUAUCACAACGGCAUAAUCUUGUUCUUCUCUGAUGGAUUAAUAAACAAGGGUGACUUUUUUUAUGGAACCGACAACUUCAUCUCCAAAGUGCCUGUCCACACAUUUACUGUUGGCGGCGACGCAUAUAACCAUGGUCUCCAAGCCAUCGCAGCAAAUUCUCCAGGUGGGACGUUCAACGCAAUUCCAGUUCCAGAGAGACCGCAUCUCUCAGUGCCCUUCUCGAAACUACUGGAUAGCCUCCUUAGCGGCACAAUGGAGGACAUAACUUGCAAGAACAAGCUGCUCUUUCUAUUCAGAGCAGCAACAGAGCUCUUAUUUGCAACCAUACCACAGUUUGAACAAACAAGACAACAGACCCUAAACCCUAAACAACCACUACUAAGCCAUGUGAACAUGAAUGGCAGGAUGACCAGUAGUACCAAGUGCAGCACCGCAGAUUCUCAUCUUGUAGGCAAGGGAAAAUUCCCCAGCAAGGAAGAUGGUCCGACCAGCAGGCCAGGCGAAGUGGACCAAAGCUCUAGUACUACAAACACAGUAGGACAAUUCCAAUCAGGAGAUCUAAUCAAGUGCAUUAAAGAUCAUGGGCAUGGAUAUGUCCACCAUGAUCACUUCCAGGAAAGCACAACAGAAGUAAUAGUUCUACUCAGUGCGCACAGUGGAGCAUCAUCAUCUAGAGCCUUUCUGCUUGCAUCGCUGGAGGUGAUGGUGACAAUUAAAGCUGACUCUCAUCCUCGUGGACUCUGUAUAGCACAUAAUCAAGUCCUGGCACAUCCAGAAUUAUCUUUUUGUGAUUCUACUUUAGGAAUCAUGCAAAUUUGGCGGAAAACUACAAUGAAACGAUGGGUCAGAGAACACUUCUGGAACUGGGAUUACUUGCUACUACUUGAAUUAGGGGAAGUGGACAUGCUUAGCAUUUACCAGGUCAGGGCUGCUGCCCACGGCUAUACGAACUUGGCGCUGGCCAGCGCUACUGCUAAAGUUUAA
rnacentral:rRNA from 1 species